rnacentral:lncRNA from 1 species
CGUCUGACCCGACCCGCCGGUUUCUCCCUCCUCCGACGUCCUCCGUCCACGGACCCGGCUCCCCCGAGGUCGCCUCACCUAUUCCGGCCACUCCGUGGCGUCAGCCGGCCCGGACGCUGCUCCUCGGCCGAGAUCGAAGCAACCCCAGGCCGAGAUCGAAGCAACCCGAGGUCGCCUCACCUCAUCCGGCGACUCCGUGGCGUCAGCCGGCCCAGACGCUGCCCCCAGGUCGAGAUGGAAGCAACCCCAGGCCGAGAUCGAAGCAAUUCCGUGGCG